UACAGAGGUCUCAAGCGUUGUUCGGAUUCAUUGGGCGUAAAGGGUGCGUAGGUGGCGGGGUAAGUCAGGUGUGAAAUCUCGGGGCUCAACCCCGAAACUGCACUUGAUACUGCCUUGCUCGAGUACUGGAGAGGAGAUUGGAAUUUACGGUGUAGCAGUGAAAUGCGUAGAUAUCGUAAGGAAGACCAGUGGCGAAGGCGAAUCUCUGGCCCGAUACUGACGCUGAGGCACGAAAGCGUGGGGAGCAAACAGG
rnacentral:rRNA from 1 species